rnacentral:misc_RNA from 1 species
UAGAUGAAGAGCGCGGUGAAUUACGUCUCUGCCCUCUGCAGAUGAAGAACGCAGCGAAAUACGUCCGUACGCAAUGAUGAAGAACGCAAUUUACGUCCCUGCCCUUUGUAGAUGAAGAACGCAGCGAAAUACGUCCUGCCCUCUGUAGAUGAAGAACGCAGGAAUUUACGUCCCUGCCCUUUGUAGAUGAAGAACGCAGCGAAAUAGUCCCUGCCCUUUGUUUACGUCCCUGCCCUUUGUAGAUGAAGAACGCAGCGAAUUUACGUCCCUGCCCUUUGUAGAUGAAGAACGCAACAAAUUUACAUCCCUGCCCUUUGUACACAACGAUGAAGGACUAUUACGUCCCUGCCCUUUGUACACAACGAUGAAGAACGCAGAUCCCUGCCCUUUGUACACAACGAUGAAGAACGCAGCGAAUAGAACUAUUACGUCCCUGCCCUUUGUAGAUGAAGAACGCAGCG